UACGUUUAAGUAUAUGAGGUACGGGAAUUUUUGAUGUUUCAAGAGCUGGUUUAAGUCUAGCAGAUGUAA
rnacentral:tRNA from 1 species